GACGAACGCUGGCGGCGUGCCUAAUACAUGCAAGUAGAACGCAGUUGCGAACGGGUGAGUAACGCGUAGGUAACUGCCUGGUAGCGGGGGCUAACUAUUGGAAACGAUCGCUAAUACCGCAUACUACCAGAUGGACCUGCGUUGUAUUCGCUAGUUGGUGAGGUAACGGCCCACCAAGGCAACGAUACAUAGGCGCACUGAGAGGGGGAACGGCCCCACGGGGACUGAGACACGGCCCAGGUUCCUAGGGGAGGCAGCAGUAGGGAAUGUUCGGAAAUGGGGGGAAUCCUGACCGAGAAACGCCGCGUGAGUGAAGAAGGUUUUCGGAUCGUAAAGCUCGGUUGUCUAGGAAGCGUUACUUAUCCAGAAAGGGACGGCUAACUACGUGCCAGCAGCCGCGGUAAUUC
rnacentral:rRNA from 1 species